rnacentral:rRNA from 1 species
UACGUAGGGUGCAAGCGUUAAUCGGAAUUGCUGGGCGUAAAGCGUGCGCAGGCGGUUUUGUAAGUCUGUCGUGAAAUCCCCGGGCUCAACCUGGGAAUUGCGAUGGGAGACUGCAAGGCUAGAAUCUGGCAGAGGGGGGUAGAAUUCCACGUGUAGCAGUGAAAUGCGUAGAGAUGUGGAGGAACACCGAUGGCGAAGGCAGCCCCCUGGGUCAAGAUUGACGCUCAUGCACGAAAGGCGUGGGGAGCAAACAGG